rnacentral:rRNA from 1 species
GACGAAGGAUGCAAGCGUUAUCCGGAUUCAUUGGGUUUAAAGGGAGCGUAGGUGGCCUUAUAAGUCAGUGGUGAAAAUCUCUGGGCUUAACCCCAGAAAUUGCCAUUGAUACUGUAGGGCUUGAGUAUAGUUCCGUUGGCGGAAUAUGACAUGUAGUGGUGAAAUACAUAGAGAUGUCAUAGAGCACCGAUUGCGAAGGCAGCUGACGAAACUAUAACUGACACUGAGGCUCGAAAAGUGUGGGGGAUCAAAACAGG